rnacentral:rRNA from 1 species
AACGAACGCUGGCGGCAGGCUUAACACAUGCAGGUCGAACGCCCCGCAAGGGGAGUGGCAGACGGGUGAGUAACGCGUGGGAACAUACCCUUUCCUGCGGAAUAGCUCUGGGAAACUGGAAUUAAUACCGCAUACGCCCUACGGGGGAAAGAUUUAUCGGGGAAGGAUUGGCCCGCGUUGGAUUAGCUAGUUGGUGGGGUAAAGGCCUACCAAGGCGACGAUCCAUAGCUGGUCUGAGAGGAUGAUCAGCCACAUUGGGACUGAGACACGGCCCAAACUCCUACGGGAGGCAGCAGUGGGGAAUAUUGGACAAUGGGCGCAAGCCUGAUCCAGCCAUGCCGCGUGAGUGAUAAAGGCCUUAGGGUUGUAAAGCUCUUUCACCGAUGAAGAUAAUGACGGUAGUCGGAGAAGAAGCCCCGGCUAACUACGUGCCAGCCGCCGCAGUAACAC